rnacentral:rRNA from 1 species
GACAGAGGGUGCGAACGUUGUUCGGAAUUACUGGGCGUAAAGCGCAUGUAGGCGGCAGCGCAAGUCGGGCGUGAAAUCCCACGGCUCAACCGUGGAAGUGCACUCGAAACUGCGCAGCUAGAGUCCUGGAGAGGAAGGUGGAAUGUUUGGUGUAGAGGUGAAAUUCGUAGAUAUCAAGCGGAACACCGGUGGCGAAGGCGGCCUUCUGGAACAGUGACGUGACGCUGAGCAUGCGAAAGCGUGGGGAGCAAACAGG